GACGAACGCUGGCGGCGCGCUUAACACAUGCAAGUCGAGCGAGAACCAGACCUUCGGGUCUGGGGACAGCGGCGAACGGGUGAGUAACACGUGGGUAAUCAACCCUCGGUACUGGGAUAGCCCGGGGAAACCCGGAUUAAUACCGGAUGGCCCUUCGGAUCUUCGGUUCCGAAGGAAAAGGUAGCUUCGGCCUCCGACCGAGGACGAGCCCGCGGCGGAUUAGCUUGUUGGUGGGGUAACGGCCUACCAAGGCGGCGAUCCGUAGCUGGUCUGAGAGGACGAUCAGCCACACUGGGACUGAGACACGGCCCAGACUUCUACGGAAGGCAGCAGUGGGGAAUCUUGCGCUAAUGCGGGAAACCGUGACGCAGCGACGCCGCGUGAGGGAAGAAGGCCUUCGGGUUGUAAACCUCUUUCAGAAGGGACGAAGCUACUCGGGUUAAUAGCCCAGAGGGUGACGGUACCUUCAGAAGAAGCCCCGGCUAACUACGUGCCAGCCGCCGCAGUAA
rnacentral:rRNA from 1 species